UAGAUAUGUAAAUAUUAUGUAAUAUGUAAUGUAAGUAUUAUAAAUAUGCUCAGGCUCGGUACUUUUAGAGCCAUGUGCACCAUAAUUUGACUAAGUUAUACGGUAAUAUUUGAAUUUCGGGAAAAAAUCCCGGGAUUUGUCACGGCGAAAACCGGGAUUCCCGAUUCCCGGGAUUUAAAAAAUCGUCCGGGAUUGGAAUCCCUAGGUGGCACAAGGUUCGGAAGGUGGCCAACUCGAGCACAGAACAAGGUCAAGGUCAAGGCACAAAAAAAUACGAGACUGGAACAGAAAACACGACUGUCCACUUUGAAAAGUUGCGAGACACUGAAAUUUUUCCUCACUUUUCAGACCGGGUGUCUGGAGGUGAUCAGUUGGCAGGGAAAUUUCAGGGUGAAUUUCAGAAAUUGUAAAAGCGACGGGGCAGACUUGAUACAGCCCGAGCCAGUCGUUCUUCACUUUUUUCUUGAGUUCAAAUUGUGAGUGUGGGCGAAGCGUUUUAAAUAUAAUUCCAAAUUGACAUCGUUCUCUUUGAUGUGCACUUUCAGUUUCGUGCCAAAUUUCGUAUUUCUACCACGAUUUGCAUACAAUGUACUUCAAGGGGUAUGAAUUUAGUCGACCCCUACCACUUAAAUGACCCAACAGGUCAACCACUAUAUCAAGCAUACUCAUUUUUAAACUCAUUCAAAGCUAUGUCGUGAUUGCAUGAAUUUCGUGGUCAAACUCAGCGAGUCGUCUAAUGUCCGUUACAUAGUUUGUCUCAAAUAUUUAGACGGACGGUCAUGAAGGUUCUAUAAGAUCAUAUUCAGGAUCCAGCUAUGAAAACGGUGUCAAAUAAUUACCGGUUUUUUGCAACAAAAAAUAUAUAUUUCUACUAAUAAAUUUUCAUCCCAAAAAUUUAUCAAACGACCCGUAUCGUGCACAAGAUUCUGUUCGAAAGUGACGCCGAGAUCGACGUUGCUCUGCUUCAGAUCCUCCUCGCCAACGUUCCCGACAUCCUUUCCACCAACACCAACGUUAUCGAGGCUCUCCCCGCCAACGUUCUUCACGCCAGCACCGCCUUCCUCCACGGUUUCGCCAUCUUUCGAAACGCUGUGGGCGAUGGUGGUGUCUCUCUCUGCUCAAUGAUUAAGAUGAGCGUCAUCCCGAAAAGACUCGAUCGAGAUCAAAAUCCGGUCCAAAAACGAGUCCAUUUUUGACGACGAGGUUGACGAUGUGACCACGUUUACGGAGUACGUCCAAAGGACCCUCGUCACGCAGCGAGGUGACGACGACAACAACGCGGAGGACGGAAAGACAAGUCACAGAAUUGAAUAGAAAACUGAUCAAAAUAAGGGCUUAUCAAAUCAUGUACGAGUUUCGGCGCAAAAAAUCGGGCGCAGAGGAAGAGGAGGAUGACAGCAAUAUAGAAUUCAUCUACGGUGAUGCGGAUGACUAUUAAAUUAAUUACGCCUAUUAGUCCUGUUUAAACUAGUAACAAUUCCACCUUAGUUUAUAAAAUCGAGGCUACAAUUUAUCCCCUAUAAUUUUUCUCCCCAUUGACCCAAUCACAUUACAAAUUUGUACACAAUAUAAAUUUUGCAUCGUUUCCAAAAAUAAUAAAUUGCCUCUUUAAACAUUUACAAAUAAAAAUCUUUCCCUUGAUAACCGCAUCGCAUAGAUUUCCACGGGUAGAUUCAGAAUCCGCCUCCCCCGCUGCCGAAGUAGCCUUGGACGAGGUAGCUGACGCCGAGCAUGGCGACGACGACAACCAGUUUGGAGGCAUCAUUUAUAAAUAAUUCAUUUAAAAAUUCAUCAUUCAUUCAUCACUCAUAUAUGUACGGUCAAUCGUAAAAUUCGAAAAUAUCUAAUCAUGAUAUGCUCAAUUCUUAUUUAACGAUAAAGAUUAAGCUUAAUCAACGAUCAGUUACUUAUACUUUAUUCGCUGCCCAUUUACAUACGCAACAAAUUUAUGAAAUUCAAAUUUUGGACUUGUUCCAAAAAUGUAAAUCAUCUAAAACAUUUCUAGAUAAAUGUUGGAAUUAAGGAGCUUGAAUUGAAUUCAGAAAAAGCCUCGGACGAGGAAUCUGACGCCGAGCAGGGUGACGACGACCAGUUUGGUCGAAUCACUCAUGUCGUUGGCCGUGUUGCAAUAGUCCGUGUCACAAAGGCAGGUGUCCUUAGUGCAGGAAUUCAUCUUCAUCCCAGAUGGUGCAUCGGAACACCUGCUGCCAAAUGUUUUGUGAGAUAUACAAGCUGGAUGUAGAUAAGGGCACGAUUAGAGCAGACUUCAAAAUUUAGGGUGUAAGUAAUUUAUACGAAAAAAAACAUACUUUUCAAGAUGCUCGGACAUUUCGCCUUAUUUCCUUCGUCCUCUUUGUUCUCAGCGGUGAAGUCCUUGCAAACCACGGAAGUGGCAAUCUUCACGUUUUAAUAAGUAUCAUCCAAGAAAUCAAACAACCUGGAAUUCGAUCCCUCUCCUCCAGCUUCCUUAGCAUUCGGUCCCCGACAAAGGUAGCAGUAUAAUCCUAUCGGAAAUAGUAAAUAAUAAGUUAUGAUGUAAAAGAGAGGAGGAUAUAUAAAAUCCGUCCAGGCCCCGUUUUAGGCAUAGGUGAGCUAUAGGCAAGCGCCUAGGGCGCCAAUUUUUUGGGGCGUGGGUGGGCUGGGCGCCCGUAUACACUAGAUGAAAACAACUUUAACGAGUUUUAUAAUUUAUGAUACAAAACAAUGUGUAAAAAAUUUAUUAAAAGUAUGCAAUUUUUAAGAGAUUAAAAAUGCUUAAUUAAAUUUAUUCCAGAAGUGCUCUGAUUUGUGCGAUAGCAAUUAGUUCAAAAGGCAAAUUUGUGCAUGAUUAUAUAAUAAGAACCAUUUUAUAUAAUAAGACAAAAUUGCGACCACGUUGGGGCGAAAUUUUCUUUUUGUCUGCAUUGCCUUGAACGGGGCCGGAUUAUCCGGCCAGUUUAUUUUUAACAUUUUCUCCACUAACCUUCCGCGGGAGGGACGCGCUCCAAAAUCAUCACGACGGCGAUAGCGACGAAGACGAGCAACAGUUUUGACGAGGUUUUCAUCUUCCUUAUUGACGUUUCACUUACAGUUCGUCUAGACAGUGGGUGGGCAAGGACGAAGCUGACCAACUCCAGUAGAGAACAAGGUCAAGGUCGAGGCGCAAAAAAAUACGAGACUGGGACCUAAAACGCGCCUUGUAAAGUUGCGAGACCUGAAAAUUUGUAAACACUUUCUCCUCAUUUUUCAGACCGGGUGUCUGGUGGGGGUCGGUUGACAGGGAAAUUUCUAGCUGAAUUUCAGAAAUUGUAAAAAUUAGGGGGCAGAUUUGGUACAGCCCGAGCCAGCUUUGCCUUCCUCCAUUCGCCAUCUUUCGAAGAGCCGUGAGUGAGGGGAGAGGUCGCGACGGGAUUGUUUCUCUCUGCUCAAUGAUUAAGACAGGCUUCAUCCCGAAAAGAGUCGCGAUCAAAAUCCGGUCCAAAAACGAGUCCAGUUUUGACAUGGGAGGCGAUGUUGAUGGAGUACGUUCAAAGUACCGUCGUGGCGCAGUAAGGCGAAGACAACGACUCGGAGGAAGAAAGGAAAGGUAGAAAGUUGAAUAGAAACCUGAUCAAAAUUAGGGCUUAUCGAAUCAUGUGCGAAUUUCGGCGUAAAGCAACGGGUGCAGAUGAAGAAAUACUGAAUUUGUGUAUCGUGAUGCGGAUAACUAUUAAAUUUAAGCACAAUUAAUUAUAAAAUACAUUUACACCUAUGUAUAAGUCCUGUAGUUCCCCAAUAAUUUGUAAACGAAAGGCUACAAUUUAUUCCCAAUAAUUUUUCUCCCCAUUGAUCCAAUCAUGUUACCAAUUUGUACACAAUAUAAAUUUUGCAGCGAUUCCAAAAGUAA